UCGGGAAUUUUGGGCAAUGGGCGCAAGCCUGAUCCAGCCAUGCCGCGUGAGUGAAGAAGGCCUUCGGGUUGUAAAGCUCUUUUACCAGGGACGAUAAUGACGGUACCUGGAGAAUAAGCCCCGGCAAACUUCGUGCCAGCAGCCGCGGUAAUACGAAGGGGGCUAGCGUUGUUCGGAAUUACUGGGCGUAAAGCGCACGUAGGCGGAUUGUUAAGUCAGAGGUGAAAUCCCGGAGCUCAACUUCGGAACUGCCUUUGAUACUGUUAGUCUCGAGUCCGAUAGAGGUGAGUGGAAUUCCUAGUGUAGCGGUGAAAUCCGUUGAUAUCGUGGGGAACACCAAAGGCGAAGGCAGCGCACUGGCCAAAAUCUGACGCUCACACACGAAAGCUAGGGUAGCGAAGAGGAUUAGAUACCCCAGUAGUCCCUGAGCGGGCUGGCAAGGCGCAU
rnacentral:rRNA from 1 species